rnacentral:rRNA from 1 species
CUCUCGGGGUUACAGCCUUGCUGAAUUAUUCACCCUUGUCUUUUGCGUACUUCUUGUUUCCUUGGUGGGUUCGCCCACCACUAGGACAAACAUAAACCUUUUGUAAUUGCAAUCAGCGUCAGUAACAAAUUAAUAAUUACAACUUUCAACAACGGAUCUCUUGGUUCUGGCAUCGAUGAAGAACGCAGCGAAAUGCGAUAAGUAGUGUGAAUUGCAGAAUUCAGUGAAUCAUCGAAUCUUUGAACGCACAUUGCGCCCUUUGGUAUUCCAAAGGGCAUGCCUGUUCGAGCGUCAUUUGUACCCUCAAGCUUUGCUUGGUGUUGGGCGUCUUGUCUCUAGCUUUGCUGGAGACUCGCCUUAAAGUAAUUGGCAGCCGGCCUACUGGUUUCGGAGCGCAGCACAAGUCGCACUCUCUAUCAGCAAAGGUCUAGCAUCCAUUAAGCCUUUUUUUCAACUUUUGACCUCGGAUCAGGUAGGGAUACCCGCUGAACUUAAGCAUAUCAAUAAGCGGAGGAAA